CUACUCUGCACCAGUGUUUUCCUUACCGAUCGGUAACCGCCGGUUACCGCCGAUUUUUACCGAUACCGCUACUAGGCGGUAACCCAUACCGGCGGUAAAUUUCGAAAAAUUUCGCCCGAAUUUAAAAUUUUCAAAAAUAUUUGAAAUAAAAAAGGAAAAAAUAUGGUAAGAAAGUAGAGAUGACAUACAUCAUUCUAAUAUAGAACAUGUUCAAAUAUUUGACUGUUUGGGCACUCAAAAAAAUAAAAAAACUUUCGGACCGGUAAUCCCGAGCGGUAUCCUCUAAUCCCGAGCGGUAUUCGGCGUUUUCUGAGCGGAAAUCGGCGCGUUUGGACCGGAAACCACUGCAUUGUGAGUAUUUCUUGAUUUUACAUUGAUUUUUAGAUGUUUGUUGUGUAGCUAUAUUCAAAAACAUGUGUUCAUAUUAGCUAUAUGGAUCCAUUUGUUCAUGGUAGUUGGAUGUUAAUUUGUUCAUUUUAGCUAUAUGUAUAUAUGUGUGUUCAUAUUUCAAAUAUGUACAUAUAUUUUCAUUUGUUCAUUUGUUCAUUUGGACCGGAAACCACUACUAUGUAUUAUAUAUAUUGACGAUGAUGGUUUGUGAGGACUAUGGUUGUGAUGAUUUGCAUGGACUAUUGUUGUGAUGAUCUAUAUGGACUAUGGAUGUGAAUUUCUAUUUUUAUGGAUAUGAACUUCUAUUCUAUGUAUGUGUAAAUGUUAUAUAAUUGUUUGAUAUAUACCAUCAGUAAUGAUAUUUACAAAAUUACGGUGAAAUGCUGCCAAAAUUUUUAAUUUUCCAAAGUCAUACGGUGUUUACCUGUUAAAAACGACGGUUACCGGUCGGUAAACAUCGAUUACCGGUCGGUAAACAACGGUUACCGGUUUUUUGAAUUUGAAUUGUCAUUUCGAGCGGUUUCUAGCGGUUUUCGGCGAUUUACCGCCGGUUUACCGAUACCGCUAGUUGGCGAAAAUCGCUUUACCGUCGGUAAGGUGAAC